GGGUCGGUCAGGUGGAGCCCCCAGUCGCACAGCCUCCGCGUGGGCUCCACGGCCCGGCCGGUGGCUCUGCGGCGGUCCUGGGGCGGCGGGCACCGGGGCCCUGAGCGCGCCGACGCCCCGACUCCGGGGCCGAGUUCACAGAGGACCCCGGCCCUGGACCCAGGCUGCCCGGGAACCUGUCCCCAAGCGUAUGUCGUCGUUCUGACGGGAGUGCUUUGCUCCGGGCGGGGGCUUGUUCGUGGGGGGGCUGGAGCGCAGCCCCACAGGUGGUGACAAGGCGACAGGCGCCUCCUUUGAACGCUCCUCCUAAUUCGGUCCAGGCUCCUGUGUGAAGAGCGCCCUGCCGCCGUGGGGACGGAUAACUGCGUGUGCGAUGACGCCUCAGCCUGCAGGCAGCAUCUGGCCGGACGGGCGCGGACGCGGGCACGAAUAGCUCCCGGGGGGCCCAGCGCCUCGCCCAGCAACGGGCGGCUGCGACUGCGUUCUUUUUGCGGAAUGGCACUUCGGAGAGGCACAGUCUUCAGGAUCUAGCGGCGGGGCUCCGCUUUCAUUCUUUUUCUUCAGUACUUUCUUUGAUUGUUCCCAAGGCACUUUGCCCCAUGUUUUCAUGGGGUCAGCCUUUUGUUGAACUGACUCAGACCUGCCUGAGCAUCUUGCUAAGGCACUAAAGGGAGAGGAGGCGAGCCUCCUCGAGCCGUUUGGAUUUCUUUCCUUUGUUGGUAACUUCAUUGACAAUUGGUAAUAACAUAGUGUUAUGUUGAUACUGUCCUCAGUAAAGAAAGUAAGGGAAUUAUUUUGUAGAUAUAACUUGUUUUACGUCAGAAUAUUGUUAAAAACUGUCUACCAUAGAUGGUACAGGUUUUUGUUUUUUGUUUUGUUUUUUUGCAGUUUUGGAUGUUAGUGCCAAAUUAUGUCGUGUAGGAAAAGAUAUAUUUGCAAAUUCAAGUUUCAGUAUGACUGUGUUUUCUGCUUAGGGUUACAGAAUAAAUGCCAUAUGAAAAGCAGUUUCAUCUGUCAUGGAAAAACGAGAGACAUUUGUACAAGCAGUGUCUAAGGAGCUGAUUGGAGAAUUUUUGCAGUUUAUUCAACUUGAUAAAGAUGUUUCUGACCCUUUCAGCCUAAAUGAAUUGCUAGAUGAAUUAUCAAGGAAACAGAAAGAAGAGUUAUGGCAAAGGCUCAAGAAUUUAUUAACAGAUGUGCUAUUGGAAAGCCCGGUGGCUGGAUGGCGGAUGGUGGAAGUCCAGGGUGAAGACAAUAUGGAAACAGAGCAGGAUUCAAAAAUGAAGAAAAACCUAGAAAUAAUUCAUGCAAUUACAUCUGUGAUUCUUGCAUCUGUAUCUGUAAUAAAUGAAAGUGAGAACUACGAAGACUUAUUGGAAUGUGCAGUCGUGUUAAAUGGUAUUUUAUAUGCGUUACCUGAAUCUGAAAGAAAGCUGCAGAACGCCAUUCAGGAUUUGUGUGUCAUGUGGUGGGAGAAAGGCCUGCCUGCCAAGGAAGAUAUGGGAAAGACUGCUUUUAUCAUGCUGUUAAAGAAGAGUCUGGAGACUAAAACAGGUGUAGACAUAUGUCGGCUUUGGCGUAUUCAUCAAGCUUUGUAUUGCUUUGAUUAUGAUUUAGAGGAAAGUAAAGAAAUUAAAGAUAUGCUGCUUGAGUGUUUCAUAAGUGUUAAGUAUAUCAAGAAAGAAGAGGGAAGAAGAUUUCUUAGUUCUCUCUUCAGUUGGAAUAUACAUUUUAUUAAAAUGAUCCAUGAGACCAUUAAAAACCAGUUACAGGGGUUACCAAAAUCUUUGAUGGUACACAUUGCAGAAAUUUAUUUCAGAGCUUGGAAAAAGGCUUCAGGGAAAAUAUUGGAGGCAAUCGAGCACGGGUGCAUCCAGGACUUCAUGCACCAUGGGAUUCACCUCCCUCGCAAGUCUCCAGUGCAUUCCAGGGUGCGCGAGGUGCUGAGCUAUUUUCAUCAUCAAAAGAAGGUUCGUCAGGGAGUGGAAGAGAUGCUUUAUAGAUUAUAUAAACCCAUCCUUUGGAGAGGACUAAAGGCCCGAAAUUCUGAAGUCCGGUCCAAUGCUGCCCUGUUGUUCAUUGAAACAUUUCCUAUCAGAGACCCAAACUUCAAUGCCAUUGAAAUGGAUAGCGAAAUCCAGAAACAGUUUGAAGAACUCUAUAGCCUUUUAGAAGAUCCUUAUCCGAUGGUCCGUUCUACAGGGAUCCUUGGUGUUUGUAAAAUAACUUCCAAAUACUGGGAAAUGAUGCCUCCGACCAUUCUUAUUGAUCUCCUCAAGAAAGUAACUGGGGAAUUGGCAUUUGACACAAGCUCAGCUGACGUGCGCUGUUCUGUCUUUAAGUGUCUGCCAAUAAUUUUGGAUAACAAAUUAAGCCAUCCGUUAUUAGAACAGCUUCUGCCUGCACUAAAAUACAGUCUCCAUGACAAUUCUGAGAAAGUGAGAGUGGCUUUUGUUGAUAUGCUGCUGAAAGUCAAAGCCGUGCGGGCUGCUAAGUUUUGGAAAAUAUGCCCCAUGGAGCAUAUUUUGGUUCGUCUGGAGUCAGAUUCCCGGCCUGUGUCUCGACGCCUGGUGAACCUCAUCUUCAACUCUUUCCUGCCUGUGAACCAGCCUGAGGAGGUAUGGUGCGAGCGCUGCGUCACACUGGUCCAGAUGAACCACGCAGCUGCCAGGAAGUUCUAUCAGCACGCCCACGAGCACACGGCCUGCACUAAUAUAGCAAAGCUGAUUCAUGUGAUUCGCCAUUGCUUGAAUGCCUGCAUCCGGAGGGCAGCACAAGAGGGCCACGAGGGCCACGAGGAGAGGGAGAAGGAGAACGUUCUGGACAAAACACUGUCUGUAAGUGAUGUUGCAUCCAUGGCCGGUUUAUUAGAAAUCGUUGUAAUUCUCUGGAAAAGUAUUCAUAGAAGUAUGGAAAAUAACAAAGAAGCCAGAGUUUACACCAUUAACAAGUUUGCCUCUGUGCUCCCUGAGUACCUGAAAGUCUUUAAGGAUGAUCGCUGCAAGACUCCUUUGUUUAUGCUCAUGUCCUUUAUGCCAGCCUCUGCUGUGCCCGCCUUCAGCUGUGGUGUGAUUUCCACAUUAAGAAACCAAGAGGAAGGAGGAGCAGACAAGCGCUAUUGUACUUUGUUGGACUGUCUCUGCUCCUGGGGACAAGUGGGACACAUUCUGGAACUCGUUUGUGACUGGCUGCCAGAACAGCCCCAGAGCAAGAGUAACUCAGCAUCUAAACAGAAAGUGCAGAUCCACGAUACACGCCCUGUAAAACCUGAUUUGGCGCUGGUUUACGUAGAGUAUUUGCUCACCCAUCCAAAGAAUCGACAGUGCUUGCUCUCUGCUCCCCGGAAGAAACUUAACCACCUCUUGAAAGCACUUGAAAUGUCAAAGGCAGAUCUGGAAUCAAUUUUGCAGUCGCCAGGUGGGAAACCUCACAACUUUAAUGAAGCGAUGGCUCUGCGAGCCUUCAGCCUCCACUGCCGGCUGAGUAUUCAUCUUCAGCACAAGUUCUGCUCAGAAGGAAAAGUUUACCUGUCCAUUUUGGAAGACACUGGGUUUUGGUUAGAAAACAAAGUUCUAUCUUUUAUCCAAGAUCAAGAAGAAGAAUAUCUCAAGCUUCACAGGGUUGUUUAUCAGCAGAUUAUCCAGACCUACCUGAUGGUGUGUAAAGAUGUUGUGAUGGUCGGCCUUGGCGAUUAUAAGUUUCAGAUACAACUUUUACAAUGGAGUCUCGGAAUCAUGCAAACAGUGAAGGGAUUCUUUUAUGUGUCAUUACUUCUUGGCAUUCUGAAAGAGGUAACUGGAAGUUCCUUGAUACAGAAACCAGAUUCAGAUGAAGAAGUUGUGACGCUGUUCGAUAUGGUCCAGAAAGUAUUUCAGAAAAUGUUGGAAUGUAUGGCACGGAGCUUCAGGAAGCAGCCGGAAGAAGGCCUACGGCUUCUUUACUCAGUUCAGACCCCUCUUCAUGAAUUUCUAAUGACCGUUCAGUCUUGGCAUGCGGACACGCCCGUGCACCGUGGCGUACUUUCCACUGUGAUCGCUGCAUCUGUGGUGGAGAUAAGUCACCGACUACGCAAGGUUUCUGAUGCAGAAGAGCUCACCCCGCCCGAGGGUCUUUCAGACCUUCCGCCAUUUUCAAGGUGUUUAAUAGGAAUAAUAAUGAAGUCUCCGAUUGUGAUCAGGUCAUUUUUAGAUGAAUUAAAGGCGUGUGUUACUUCUGAUGAUAUUGAAGGCAUUGUGUGUCUCACAGCUGUUAUGCAUAUUAUUUUGGUUAUUAACAAAGGUAAACAGAGAAGUUCAAGAGUGAAGGAUGUUGCAGCCACUGUUCACAGAAAACUGAAGACGUUUAUGGAGAUCACCCUGGAUGAGGACAGCACGGAGAGGUUUCUCUAUGAAUCGUCAUCGAGGACUUUGGGAGCACUUCUGAAUUCAUAACCAACCUAACAUCUUUGGUCGGCUGUGAGGAAGAGAGAGCAUACACAUCUUUGUCAAAGGAUGUGUUUUCAACUUGGGAGCACUCAGACACGGAUCUCUCCAGCUGUGAACACUCCACUAGGCCAGCUCCCAGUUCCGAAGAAAUCCUGCUAUCUGGACACCUUGCUGGAGGCCACCAGCUAGGGCAUCAUGCUGAAUCAGGCCGUGUGAGCAAGAGGUGGCUGGGCAUGGGGGUUUUAAAGUGUGCUGCGGAUUGAGAGGUAAGCCUGGGUGGUCACUGUUGUUCAUACACAUUGGUCUGGAUUCCUCAUGGCCAGUGAAUGGCCUGAGCUAGUGUCCUGGGUGGUCAGCCUGGUCAGUAGUAUAGGCAAAACACGCAGGAAGGUUCCACAGCACAAGCCUCACAAAAGCGCCCUCCAGGGAUGAGGCACCAAACAGCGGAGACAUGGUGUGACCAAGUUGGUCAUGGUUGGUGCCACCGCAUCAUCAGCCACACAGUGCUAGCUUGGUGGCAUGAAACCCGCCACAGGGCAGGGGUGGGGGCUCCACGUGGGCCCAACACUAAGGGCUCCCACUUCCUGAGGCCUGUCUAGUGCCGCCACCACCCAGUGGGCCCCUGCCCACCUUAGAAACAAGGCCCUUGUUACGGGACUGUCUC